GGGGAUUUAGCUCAGCGGCAUAAGCACCUGCCUUGUAAGUAGGUGGUUGUGAGUUCGAUCCCCG
rnacentral:tRNA from 1 species